rnacentral:lncRNA from 1 species
UUUUUUUUGAGAUGGGAUCUCACUAUGUUGCUCUGGCUGGCAUUAAACUUUUAAUCCCCCUGCCUCAGGCUCCUGAGUAGCUAGAAUUACAGGCAUGUACAACCACAUCUGGGUAAUAUAACAUAUCUUAAUGGCACAUUUUAUUCAAAAUUAUAAAAAAUUAUUACCCUAUUGAUGUGGGUAUUUGAAGAAAAUAGAAGAAAAGGAUCUCUGUGUUUUUAAUGGGAGGGUAUUGAUUUUUGCCUUUCGUGUUUCAAGAGUGGGACUGCCACUCUAAGGAUCUUAGUGAAUCAGAAGUGAGGGUUAGAAAUUGGAGUUCAUGAAAG